UACGGGGGGUGCGAGCGUUGUCCGGAUUUACUGGGCGUAAAGGGCGCGUAGGCGGUCAGCACAAGUCAGUUGUGAAAUCUCCGGGCUUAACUCGGAAAGGUCAACUGAUACUGUGCGACUAGAGUGCAGAAGGGGCAACUGGAAUUCUCGGUGUAGCGGUGAAAUGCGUAGAUAUCGAGAGGGAACACCUGCGGCGAAGGCGGGUUGCUGGGCUGACACUGACGGCUGAGGCGCGAAAGCCCAGGGGAGCGAACGGGG
rnacentral:rRNA from 1 species